rnacentral:lncRNA from 7 species
AUCAUCCUGAGGACUAGACUCAGACUGCCUUCCUGUGGGUGGACAGUGUUUUUUUCCCAGCACUCCAAACAGCUGCAGCCUGACUCUUUGCCAUUCCUAUGAGGAUGACCAUCCAGCUCAGUUCCUCAGCAUCCUUGUGGCAGCAGUAGAUGUUUGGGGAAAACACACAAUAACAGGACACAUCUGGAGAGAUCCUUUCCCAGCAUAACCUUUUGGCAGUAUUAAAGGUGCCUACUUGAGUUAUGUGAGGAUAAAUGAGGCCACUUGCUGGAUCUUACUGAAGUUUAAAAGAGGAUUUCGGACUGGACCUGGACCAAUGCUGGGCUUUCAGACAAUUCAUUGCACACAUUCUUUGCCUCUCUGGCCAAGACAAGCCAUGGCUUCCUCUCUGCACCUCACCAACCAUGCAGCUCCUGUUUGACAGGGAAGAGAUGUGGGAGUAUGGCAAGUCUUUUAAUAUCCAGUACUUUGCAUUAUGGAUAGUGGUGUUCCAGAAGGUUACCAGAGGGAAAGGAAUGGGAGUUUUUAGCAGAAACUCCGAGGAAAAAAAGAACAUGAACUGAUCCACUCUGUAAUCAACAUACGUAGCCAUUCAGAAGAAAAUUUGGGAACAGUGCUUUCGUGGUUCUGCAUCAGGAGGAGAAAUUGCUUUAACUCUAUAUGCAACUUACACAGACGAACAGCCAGGCAACCAAAGAAACAAAACCCAACCCAGACAACUCUGCUAGCUUACUGGUACUUCCAUAAGGCAGUAAGUGUGGAAAGCCAACAGUAUUUUUCAUUUCCAGCAAGAGUUUUCUCAGCAAUUGAGUUUGUCUGUACUGACAAUUUCACAUUGGAGGCUUACAUUCAGAUAAUAAGUUAUUGCUCAUUCAUGGACUAAAAGAGCUAAGAAAAGGGAAGUCUGUUCCCUAAAACUGACGGGCUGAAGAGUAUGCCUGUAGGGAAAGACUGAAAGACUACACCUUUUUUUUAGCAUCAGCCCCACGUCCUUUUUUUUUUUCUUCUUCUUCUUUGUCUUUUACUUCUUUUUUGAAAAGAUGAUUUUUUUUUUCCCAAAUAUCACACUCAAUUCUUAUUUUCCUUGGAAGAAAAAGAAGUGUGAAAACUCAACAACUGCAAACCAGCAGUGAAGAUGGAGAGGAUGAGGACUGUUUUGAACACUUCAUCUCUGGCUUUAUUCUUUGUCAUCACCUAUGCUGAUGUUCAAUGAGAGCCUGACAACUUCGAGAAAUUAAAAACAAAGUACAGAUUUCAAUAAUUUUAGUAAAAAUCCUUUUAAUGCUCAGAACUUUGCUUUUUGGUGAGGCAAACUCUUUCUGAGGACUGUCUGGUUUGUAACCCCAGGCAAUGCACCCAGCUCAGCUACAGCUUUAUUCUUCUGGCUGGUGGGUUGAUAUUGUCUUGGACAGAUUCUGUUUUAUUAUGGUGUGCUGUUUGAGACAGACUUACUUCUCUGUAGUUGGGAUUUACAGUUUAAUCCCAGAAAAAUGUUACUAUCGGUGGUAACAAAGGAUAUGGUUUCUGCAGAGAAAUAUCUGCUUUAAGAGUGAAUCUGUUUAAAGACAAACAGAACAUUAUUUAUGGUAGCUUGUAUUUCCUUUUAAAUAUAAGUGCUGAAUGUAGUUCUUAUCACUCUGGAUCACAAAGGUAAGAUAAAUCUCUCUAAAGCAUGAAAAAAUAUAUAUGGAUUUUGGCACAGUCAGAUUCCUAAGAAGGAGCUGGUAUUUAAGAAUCGCUGUGUUUUUGUUUUAUAAAAAUCCUGUAUUAUUGAAGUUUACUGCUUUGACACAUUUUCCCCCAUGCUAGCUGAGCUUCAUUAGUGUUAACAUCAUUAAAGGCUUGUGGUAUUUAGAGUUGUUUUUCCCAAGAUGAGGAUUUGGAAGGUCCUUACUGGCUCAUCCAUUAACAUGUGUCAACAGCCUCCCACGAAUGAGGUGCUCUUCAGCAGAUGUAAAGCUGCUCAGGUCAAAGCCCAGCCUCAACUUUAUCCCAUGUAACUAAUUCUGAAUCUGGAACACAAGUUCCACCUGAAUCCUGAAUUCAGGAUCCAUCCAAAGCUGAAACACAGGAUCCAUCUGAAGCUCAAACACAGACUGGAGAAGAGUGGCCUUGCAGAGAAGCUGCUGAAGUGUCCAUGCCUGCCCACGGAGUCUGGUCUUCCCACAUCUCUAUCCCAUUCUUAGCAUGGUUCUCAUAAGGUUCAACCUGAGACAGAUCAACUCGGAGACAUGGCAGAAAAUUACUCUUUCUGAAUUGGUUUGUUUAGGAAUGCUUUUCUGCCACCUUGGCAAGCAGCACUGGCUGUGGAUGAAUCUGAGGUGUGCCAAAGCAAGUGCAGGAAGGGUGCGGGGGAAAGACAGAACAAGUUGCUGGAUCAGCUCAAGCUGUGGCAUGUACCUUUGCCCUUACAUCUGCUUUGAGGAUGACAUAAUAUUAAUGGUGCUGACAAAGGAGCUUGAGCAGAUCUUGGUGUUGUAGGUGAGGGAGACAUCACAACACACCAAGCUGGCAUGCCUUCUGCCAGAAGUCACUGGUGGCAGAACACAAGUGUGGGGGUGAUGCUUUAGCUACUGCAGGGCAGAACAAAGCCCUGUGUGGUGAGGUAUGAAAAACUCAUUUUUCAGUUUCUAACUGAUACUAAGAAUACUAUUCCCCUUUCUCCCUCUGAGGCUUUGGCAAUCCAGCUCUUGGUACUGAAGCAGUUUGGCCUCCAGAGAUGAAGAAUCUGAAAACAAGAGCAUCUUUAAAACUCUCUGCUCUAAAGAAAUAUGCAUCUAUAAACUGCUGGCAAUAAAUACAUCACUGU